GACGAACGCUGGCGGCGUGCUUAACACAUGCAAGUCGAACGGAAAGGCCCUGCUUUUGUGGGGUGCUCGAGUGGCGAACGGGUGAGUAACACGUGAGUAACCUGCCCUUGACUUUGGGAUAACUUCAGGAAACUGGGGCUAAUACCGGAUAGGAGCUCCUGCUGCAUGGUGGGGGUUGGAAAGUUUCGGCGGUUGGGGAUGGACUCGCGGCUUAUCAGCUUGUUGGUGGGGUAGUGGCUUACCAAGGCUUUGACGGGUAGCCGGACUGAGAGGGUGACCGGCCACAUUGGGACUGAGAUGCGGCCCGGACUCCUACGGGAGGCAGCAGUGGGGAAUAUUGCACAAUGGGCGGAAGCCUGAUGCAGCAACGCCGCGUGCGGGAUGACGGCCUUCGGGUUGUAAACCGCUUUCGCCUGUGACGAAGCGUGAGUGACGGUAAUGGGUAAAGAAGCACCGGCUAACUACGUG
rnacentral:rRNA from 1 species